AGCUUUGCGCAGUGGCAGUAUCGUAGCCAAUGAGGUUUAUCCGAGGCGCGAUUAUUGCUAAUUGAAAACUUUUCCCAAAAUGAUUAUGAUACAACUAUACAGUUUAGCCCUUGAGUUUCAGUUUUAUUGUGAGGCUACAGU